rnacentral:rRNA from 1 species
CAGUAGCCGCGGGAAUACGGAGGAUCCAAGCGUUAUCCGGAAUCAUUGGGUUUAAAGGGUCCGUAGGCGGUCUUGUAAGUCAGUGGUGAAAGCCCAUCGCUCAACGGUGGAACGGCCAUUGAUACUGCAGGACUUGAAUUAUUGGGAAGUAACUAGAAUAUGUAGUGUAGCGGUGAAAUGCUUAGAGAUUACAUGGAAUACCAAUUGCGAAGGCAGGCUACUACCAAUUGAUUGACGCUGAUGGACGAAAGCGUGGGUAGCGAACAGGAUUAGAUACCCCUGUAGUCCCUGUCUCUUAUAC